rnacentral:rRNA from 1 species
UACGGAAGGCAGCAGUGGGGAAUAUUGCACAAUGGGCGCAAGCCUGAUGCAGCCAUGCCGCGUGUAUGAAGAAGGCCUUCGGGUUGUAAAGUACUUUCAGCGGGGAGGAAGGCGAUGUGGUUAAUAACCGCGUCGAUUGACGUUACCCGCAGAAGAAGCACCGGCUAACUCCGUGCCAGCAGCCGCGGUAAUACGGAGGGUGCAAGCGUUAAUCGGAAUUACUGGGCGUAAAGCGCACGCAGGCGGUCUGUUAAGUCAGAUGUGAAAUCCCCGGGCUUAACCUGGGAACUGCAUUUUGAAACUGGCAGGCUUGAGUCUCGUAGAGGGGGUAGAAUUCCAGGUGUAGCGGUGAAAUGCGUAGAGAUCUGGAGGAAUACCGGUGGCGAAGGCGGCCCCUGGACGAGACUGACGCUCAGGUGCGAAAGCGUGGGGAGCAAACAGGAUUAGAUACC